rnacentral:lncRNA from 1 species
AAAACUGACUUUAUACAACAGAGGCGAUUUGUGCAUUAUCCACCACAUUUUCUUUCAGGAUAGGACCACAACAAAUAUUUAUGUAAAUAGAUAUUUUUGUGUGAUAUUUUGUGGUACAUAUAACUUUUUUUAGUGUUUCACAGCAUUAUUUUAUUUUAUUUGUAUUAAAUAAUGUUUUAGGUCCAAGUAGACUUGAAUGGACGUUACAAUUGUUAGUAUUAUUGAAACUUAAGUCAACAGUACUGUCAUCCAUCUGUCCCAUAGUUUAGAACAUGACCUGGCUAUCUGGCGUUGUUGCAAGUGCCUUAAACUCAUGGCAUCUUAUUAAGAAAACAAAUUUGGUGUUAUGCUGCAUGACAAAGACAAACACACCUCAAAAUGUUGUCCUUUCUUAGCUUGCUGCGUUUUACAGUUCUUUCUGCUAACAAUUUAUAAGCCUUUAUUAUAUAAUAUUGAUGAAUUACAGAAAUGAUGAAGUUGUUAUCUUAUUUCUGUUCAAUGUACCAGAGCUGUGUGUCUGUUCAUGAGAUACAGCGUCAUUUCUGUGAAAUGUAUAAAUGUAUGUGCAGGUCAAAUUACUAUAUGACAUACUAUCAGUCUGUAUACAGAUAUUCCUGUUUUGCUAAAGCUGUGCAGACUCAACAAAUUUAAAAAAAAAGUAGCGCAGUCAAAUCCUAACAUAUCUCAUUUUAAGAUUCCAUUAACAAUGGUCAAACCCAAAGGAAAAAUUGGAAAUGACUGCUCACCACACCUCGUUAGGAAACCAACAAUGAAAAUGUACCUUGGUGCACCCCUCAACAAAACAGGAUGCUCUCUCUGAGUUCUCGUAUAUGUAAAUCAUGUAUGAGGCGAGUUUUCAGGAGACUUUGAAAGCAAACCGUUGGAAGUAUGUUGCUAGCCCUCCUCCUUCUCUAGCCCUGCAACGACAGACAGAGCUCUGGGACCUUGGCUAUGACGCAGAGGUUUGGGCUUUCUACGUAAAGGGACAUUUCUUUAAGCAUCAUUUAUCAAGUUUAUUUCAACGUAUGAUGUUUUUACAACUGGUCAGUUCUUUUGUAUUCUUACAGCUAUGGUUAUUUGACUGUCCUCUUACAAUUUGUUCUACAUGAACGAGUCUUUUGUUAGAAUGCAACAAACUGUCAUCUAAUGGUCAUUGGCCACUUGCACUCUUUUGAUGUAGAUUAAAAACUUUUUCAUAACUUAACCUGCUUUGAUUUGCUUUGUAUUUUCCCUGCAGCUGUAAUUGCAGAGUGCCUGUUGGAUACUUUAUAGAGUUGAAAUAAAAAAAAUAAUUACUUUUG